rnacentral:rRNA from 1 species
UGGGGAAUAUUGCACAAUGGGCGCAAGCCUGAUGCAGCCAUGCCGCGUGUGUGAAGAAGGCCUUCGGGUUGUAAAGCACUUUCAGCGGGGAGGAAGGCGAUAAGGUUAAUAACCUUGUCGAUUGACGUUACCCGCAGAAGAAGCACCGGCUAACUCCGUGCCAGCAGCCGCGGUAAUACGGAGGGUGCAAGCGUUAAUCGGAAUUACUGGGCGUAAAGCGCACGCAGGCGGUCUGUCAAGUCGGAUGUGAAAUCCCCGGGCUCAACCUGGGAACUGCAUUCGAAACUGGCAGGCUAGAGUCUUGUAGAGGGGGGUAGAAUUCCAGGUGUAGCGGUGAAAUGCGUGGAGAUCUGGAGGAAUACCGGUGGCGAAGGCGGCCCCCUGGACAAAGACUGACGCUCAGGUGCGAAAGCGUGGGGAGCAAACAGG